ensembl:lncRNA
AUGUGUUUAGGGCAUGGAAGUAGUCGACUCAGGUACUGAUCUUUUCAGCGUUUAUUUGCGCCUGCAGAAGGCAAUAAAACACAGGCAUUGCCUUCUGGUCCCUGCACACAGGGUCUUCAACAGAGUAACAUUUCUGUGAAGGAAAAACGGGACUACGGAAGCCUAGGAGGCGCAGGAGAGAUGAAUCGCAAUUUCCGCAAAUUGAACUCGUCAAAAUAAAAUUCACACACACACACUCAACAAGAUUAUUGAAUAAUAACCAAAAAUAAGAUAAAAUAAUCUUCCUUUUGAGGAUCUCUUUUGGUUGUAUUCAAUGCACAGACGCGUGGGACGCGAAAAGAUGAGCGUUGAGAUGCUCCGCUCGUCAUCACCGCCGUCCUGCUGUCAAAAGCGUGAAUACACUUUAUUAAACAGACGCUCACCGGAGACACACACAGAGACUGAACGCCUGUAAGUAAGUGUGUAACCGAGAGACUCACCGAUCCGACACAACGGGUCAUCAGACCGGCUGCUGGUCCGUCUGAAGCAGCGCUGGAAGCCGCAGUCAUCCAGACGCACUUCUUGGAGGAGUCGGUGAAAUUCAAGCCGUGUGCCCUCCAUAGGCCUCAUGGGCUCCUCCACAGGUCCAACACUUUGGCACAUUUCCCCUUUUCUUUACGGUGCUUAUAUGUGCCCAAACCGCUGACAUUUAUAGCACCUCGUGGCUUUGACGCACACACUCACUGGGUAACUCGGGUACCCCGGGUACACUUUCCCUGGCACAUUUCUUCCUUCAAACUCAAUAUGUUCUCACUAUAUACUACUUGCCAGAGUGGUUGUGAGCAAAAACAGGUUGAUGUCUUCACUGCCUCCUGAUCCUUUUCAUUAAACCUUAGUGUGACAUUAUAUGUAUCAGGUGUUGACCUUUGCCCUCGCUCACUUCCUUCUUUCUCGCUCUCUGUAGUCUCCUUAUCAGUUCUUGUUCAUUUGUUGCUAUUCACACGUUUGUCUCGAGUCUCACUCCCCCUUCCCCUCAACUCUUCCUCAUUGUCUUCCUCACUCCCUGGAUGAAAACCCAUGGUUAUAAUUAUAUUUAUUCAUACACAUAACAUCUCUGACGUUUAUGACAAACCAAACCGUUUAACAAUCGGUUGAAAAUUAAGUACAUCUACCAACACCAACACAAUGUUAUGUCGAGUGCAGAAAACAAGGUUCUGCGAUGGAGCAAAUAGCUUGCGCAAGAAGGACUUUAGCUCUCUCGAGACCGACUUUUGCUUGUGAAGGUUUGAUUUAGGCGCGCGCAUGAACCUGAUUUGUCUGAUUUUGACAGUGAUAAUGCCGCCAUAGGGGUGGCACGUGACGGUACGUUAGUUUAGUGAGACCGUUAAAUUGCCUCCAGAUAAUAGACAGAGACCGACCGGUAUCCUGCGGCAGCCAGGUUAGGAAAUUUAUAUAUUAUUUAGGGUGCAAUCUUUGCCCCCAAUGACUGAAAACCAGGGGCAUUUUAUAAAACCUGUUUUCCUCCUAGAGUGGAACCCUCAUUUUUUAUAGCUCAUAUUUCUCUGCCGUGGAGAGAUCCAGUCAUACGAAUAAAGACUCCAAAUCCCUUAAAACCCUGCGACUGUGUCCUGUGUUCUACCGGCUCCUGACAGGAGCACAGCAGAAAGCCCCACAAGAAAAUGAAACGCUGAAAGGUCAUAGUCCCC